CUACGGGGCGCUCCAGUGAGGAAUAUUGCACAAUGGAGGGAACUCUGAUGCAGCAACGCCGCGUGGAGGAUGACGCAUUUCGGUGUGUAAACUCCUUUUAUAUGUCAAGAAAAUGACGGUAGCAUAUGAAUAAGCACCGGCUAACUCCGUGCCAGCAGCCGCGGUAAUACGGAGGGUGCAAGCGUUACUCGGAAUCACUGGGCGUAAAGGACGCGUAGGCGGGAUAUCAAGUCAGGUGUGAAAUCCUACAGCUUAACUGUAGAACUGCACUUGAAACUGGUAACCUAGAGUAUGGGAGGGGGAGAUGGAAUUAGUGGUGUAGGGGUAAAAUCCGUAGAUAUCACUAGGAAUACCUAAAGCGAAGGCGAUCUCCUGGAACAUAACUGACGCUAAGGCGUGAAAGCGUGGGGAGCAAACAGGAUUAGAUACCCCCGUAGUC
rnacentral:rRNA from 1 species